CCCCCGGUAGCCCAAUCGGCAGAGGCAACCGCCUCAAAAGCGGCUGAGUGUGGGUUCAAAUCCCACCUGGGGGACCA
rnacentral:tRNA from 1 species